GACGAACGCUGGCGGCGUGCUUAACACAUGCAGGUCGAACGGAAAGGCCCUGCUUUUGUGGGGUGCUCGAGUGGCGAACGGGUGAGUAACACGUGAGUAACCUGCCCUUGACUUUGGGAUAACUUCAGGAAACUGGGGCUAAUACCGGAUAGGAGCUCCUGCUGCAUGGUGGGGGUUGGAAAGUUUCGGCGGUUGGCGAUGGACUCGCGGCUUAUCAGCUUGUUGGUGGGGUAGUGGCUUACCAAGGCUUUGACGGGUAGCCGGCCUGAGAGGGUGACCGGCCACAUUGGGACUGAGAUACGGCCCAGACUCCUACGGGAGGCAGCAGUGGGGAAUAUUGCACAAUGGGCGGAAGCCUGAUGCAGCAACGCCGCGUGCGGGAUGACGGCCUUCGGGUUGUAAACCGCUUUCGCCUGUGACGAAGCGUGAGUGACGGUAAUGGGUAAAGAAGCACCGGCUAACUACGUG
rnacentral:rRNA from 1 species